rnacentral:rRNA from 1 species
GAUGAACGCUGGCGGCGUGCCUAAUACAUGCAAGUCGAGCGAACAGACGAGAGUGCUUGCACUCUCUGACGUUAGCGGCGGACGGGUGAGUAACACGUGGGUAACCUACCUAUAAGACUGGGAUAACUUCGGGAAACCGGAGCUAAUACCGGAUAAUAUUUAGCUUCGCAUGAAGCAAUAGUGAAAGACGGUUCUGAUGUCACUUAUAGAUGGACCCGCGGUGUAUUAGCUAGUUGGUGAGGUAACGGCUCACCAAGGCAACGAUACAUAGCCGACCUGAGAGGGUGAUCGGCCACACUGGGACUGAGACACGGCCCAGACUCCUACGGGAGGCAGCAGUAGGGAAUCUUCCGCAAUGGACGAAAGUCUGACGGAGCAAUGCCGCGUGAGUGAAGAAGGUUUUCGGAUCGUAAAACUCUGUUGUAAGGGAAGAACAAGUACGUUAGUAACUGAACGUACCUUGACGGUACCUUACCAGAAAGCCACGGCUAACUACGUG